GGAGUUGUGGCUUAGUGGUAGAGCACUCACCUAGCAUGUGUGAGGCACUGGGUUCAAUUCUAAGCACCA
rnacentral:tRNA from 1 species